GGGAACAAUGUACUUUCUAAAUGUAUGCGCAUCGCGUACGCGCAUGCGCUGAGAAAGUAAAAUGAGAUACUUUCUCUACGUGGUCGCAAUUCUGAAGAAUGGCCUCAUGAAAUAAAAGAAGGAAACACAUGUCGUAACCAACAGCUAGGGAAACCGUUCAAAACUCUACAUGCGUGCAUGCAUGCUUAUUAAUGGAAAAUUAAAGCACAAUACAUUUGAAAUGGUGUUUCUUCGUCAUCACAAAUGGAUCGUAUUUAAAAAUAACCAUGUGCUGGAACAACCGUUAUAACAUCCUGGUAUUUUCCGUUAUUAAAAGAUGAAUAUUUUCAUAAUCUUAAAAAAAAGUACUAUGUUAGUUUUAAAUUACAAAUUAAUGUGAGAAGACACUUAUGAAAUAAAAAAUAGAGCAAAAUAAUUGACUUUAUGUUUCAACUCAUAAUGUGCAACCAUGUAGCAAAUUAUUAUUAUGGUGUAACAUACGUUCCUGAGCAACGGUAAGAAAGUAAUUUAUGUUGCACGUGAACGUUGGCCACGUGCCAACUCAAUUACAGAUCCUCGAAAGAAAAACUUCAACACUUCUAUUCAAUUUACAUUAAUAAGGAUUUUAAUAAGAAAUAUUUUCACUAGAAAAACGAAGAAACAUAUUUCAUAUGGUGAAAGCUUUAUUAAGUUAAUGGAUGGUGCUAAUAAAGAAAAAAAAAUCGAUUUCGAUCGAUCUAAAAUCAUCGAAUCUCCUUUAUGGAAAGUUUAACGUUAGUAAUUGCGAAAGCUAAGAAGAUAAGCAAGAAUGAAAUAACAUGAAGAAACGUGACGAUGCAUCAGGAAGAUGGGAAAUCAUUAACCUUGCUUAUUCGAACCAACGGGUCGUGGAAUUUGUAUGCGUCAUAGGAUAUGCGGGCAUCUUAUGUGACGCUUAAAGAGACGCGAGAAUUAUAAUGCAUUGCCACACGUUCAUCUUGCAAAUGUAGUGACAAUGCAUUCCUUUAAAACUACCAAAGAUAAUGGACCUACUAUAUUGGAUCACACAUCUACAAUUAAAUUUAAAGAUAUUUCAAAAUGAUAAAUUAUGAAAUUCCAGUAUGUCAUAAAAAAGCUUCAUUAUAUAUAAUUAUACAAAAUGAUUCAAUUAUAUACAUAUAUUACAUUAAAAUUUAAUCUAUAUAUAUAUAUAUAUAUAUACAUUAAUGAUCAA